GGAGGGAGCAAGCGUUGUUCGGAAUCACCGGGGGGCGUAAAGGGGCGCGUAGGGCGGGUCGGGGUAAGUCGGGGUGUGAAAUUCCGGGGCUCAACCCCGCGAACUGCAUCCGAUACUGCUCGACUUGAGAAAGGUAGGGGCGAGUAGAAUUCCCGGUGUAGCGGUGGAAUGCGUAGAUAUCGGGAAGAACACCGGUGGCGAAGGCGGCUCGCUGGGCCUUAUCUGACGCUGAAGCGCGAAAGCGUGGGGAGCAAACAGGAUUAGAUACCCUGGUAGUCCACGCCGUAAACGAUGGGUACUAGGUGUUGGGAGGAUUGACCCUUUCAGUGCCGACGCUAACGCAUUAAGUACCCCGCCUGGGGAGUACGGCCGCAAGGCCG
rnacentral:rRNA from 1 species